rnacentral:rRNA from 1 species
UUUCUUGUGUGACCGCGUACUUUUUGUAGAACGGGCCAACGAGUUACGUUAAGUAGCAAGGUUAAGCACUUAAGGUGCGGAGCCGUAGCGAAAGCGAGUUUUAACUGAGCGUUCAGUUACUUGACGUAGACCCGAAACCGGGCGACCUACCCAUGAGCAGGAUGAAGCGAAAGUAAAAUUUCGUGGAGGUCCGAACCCACGAGCGUUGAAAAGCUCGGGGAUGACUUGUGGGUAGCGGUGAAAUUCCAAUCGAGCCCGGAGAUAGCUGGUUCUCCCCGAAAUAGCUUUAGGGCUAGCCUCAAGGUGAGAGAUACGGAGGUAGAGCACUGAAUGUCCUAGGGGGUAUUGCACCUACCGAAGACUAUCAAACUCCGAAUGCCGUCAUCUUAUACUUGGGAGUCAGACUGUGGGUGAUAAGAUUCAUAGUCGAAAGGGCAACAGCCCAGAUCGUCAGCUAAGGUCCCUAAAUGUAAGUUAAGUGGUAAAGGAUGUGGGAUUGCACAGACAACCAGGAUGUUGGCUUAGAAGCAGCCACUCAUUCAAAGAGUGCGUAAUAGCUCACUGGUCGAGUGAUCCUGCGCCGAAGAUUUCCGGGGCUAAAACUUACUACCGAAGCUACGGCAUCAGUAAUGAUGGGUAGGGGAGCUUCCCAUACGGGUUGAAGCAUGACCGUAAGGACAUGUGGACAGUAUGGGAGUGAGAAUGUUGGCAUGAGUAGCGAGAUGUGGGUGAGAAUCCCACAGGCCGUAAACCCAAGGUUUCCAGGGGAAGGUUCGUCCGCCCUGGGUUAGUCGGGACCUAAGCUGAGGCCGAAAGGCGUAGGUGAUGGACAACAGGUUGAUAUUCCUGUACUACCGAUAACCAUUUGAGAGAAGGGAUGACACAGUAGGAUAAGCUAAGCACACUGUUGGUUAUGUGUGCCCAAGCAUUGAGGCAGUCAAAGUAGGCAAAUCCGCUUUGAUAAUGCUGGGAUGUGAUGGGGAGCGAAAUUUAGUAGCGAAGUAGCUGAUUUCACACUGUCAAGAAAAGUCUCUAUCGAGGUUAAAGGUACCCGUACCGCAAACCGACACAGGUGGGUGAGGAGAGUAUCCUAAGGCCAGCGAGAGAACUGUUGUUAAGGAACUCGGCAAAAUGACCCCGUAACUUAGGGAUAAGGGGUGCCACCAUCAGGUGGCCGCAGAGAAUAGGCCCAAGCGACUGUUUACCAAAAACAUAGGUUUCUGCUAAGUCGCAAGACGAUGUAUAGGAGCUGACGCCUGCCCGGUGCUGGAAGGUUAAGGGGAUCUGUUAGAGCAAUCGAAGCAGUGAACUUAAGCCCCAGUAAACGGCGGCCGUAACUAUAACGGUCCUAAGGUAGCGAAAUUCCUUGUCGGGUAAGUUCCGACCCGCACGAAAGGCGUAACGAUUUGGGCACUGUCUCAACAACAGACUCGGUGAAAUUGUAAUUCCGGUGAAGAUGCCGGAUACCUGCGACAGGACGGAAAGACCCCAUGGAGCUUUACUGUAGCUUGACAUUGGGUCUUGGUACUACAUGUACAGGAUAGGUGGGAGGCUUUGAAACCAGGACGCCAGUUUUGGCGGAGCCAUCCUUGGGAUACC